UGGGGAAUUUUGGACAAUGGGGGAAACCCUGAUCCAGCCAUCCCGCGUGUGCGAUGAAGGCCUUCGGGUUGUAAAGCACUUUUGGCAGGAAAGAAACGUCGCGGGUUAAUACCCCGCGAAACUGACGGUACCUGCAGAAUAAGCACCGGCUAACUACGUGCCAGCAGCCGCGGUAAUACGUAGGGUGCAAGCGUUAAUCGGAAUUACUGGGCGUAAAGCGUGCGCAGGCGGUUCGGAAAGAAAGAUGUGAAAUCCCAGAGCUUAACUUUGGAACUGCAUUUUUAACUACCGGGCUAGAGUGUGUCAGAGGGAGGUGGAAUUCCGCGUGUAGCAGUGAAAUGCGUAGAUAUGCGGAGGAACACCGAUGGCGAAGGCAGCCUCCUGGGAUAACACUGACGCUCAUGCACGAAAGCGUGGGGAGCAAACAGGAUUAGAUACCCUGGUAGUCCACGCCCUAAACGAUGUCAACUAGCUGUUGGGGCCUUCGGGCCUUGGUAGCGCAGCUAACGCGUGAAGUUGACCGCCUGGGGAGUACGGUCGCAAGAUUAAAAACUUAAAGGAAUUGACGGGGGUCAUAGCU
rnacentral:rRNA from 1 species